AAGACAGCUGAAUGAUAGUCGGGCUGAAGACUCUACUUGACUAGCUGAGAGGAGGUGCAUGGCCGUCGUCAGUUCGUACUGUGAAGCAUCCUGUUAAGUCAGGCAACGAGCGAGACCCACGCCAACAGUUGCCAGCUCGUCCUCCGGGGAUGGCGGGGACACUGUUGGGACCGCCUCUGCUAAAGAGGAGGAAGGAAUGGGCAACGGUAGGUCAGCAUGCCCCGAAUUAUCUGGGCUACACGCGGGCUACAAUGGGUGGGACAAUGGGUAUCGACACCGAAAGGUGAAGGCAAUCUCCUAAACCCAUCCGUAGUUCGGAUUGUGGGCUGCAACUCGCCCACAUGAAGCUGGAAUCUGUAGUAAUCGUGUCUCAAAAUGGCACGGUGAAUAUGUCCCUGCUCCUU
rnacentral:rRNA from 1 species